rnacentral:rRNA from 1 species
CCAAUAGCGUAUAUUAAAGUUGUUGCAGUUAAAAAGCUCGUAGUUGAAUUUCGGGAUCAAAUUGUCGGUCGUGCCUCGGUACGUACUGGUAUUAUUGGUUCCUACCUUCUGAAGAACCGCGAUGUCAGUAAUUUGGUGUCGUGGGGAAUCAGGACUGUUACUUUGAAAAAAUUAGAGUGUUUAAAGCAGGCUUACGCUUGAAUACAUUAGCAUGGAAUAAUGAAAUAGGACGUUUGAUUCUAUUUUGUUGGUUUCUAGGAUUGACGUAAUGAUUAAUAGGGAUAGUUGGGGGCAUUAGUAUUCAAUUGUCAGAGGUGAAAAUUCUUGGAUUUAUUGAAGACUAACUACUGCGAAAGCAUUUGCCAAGGAUGUUUUCAUUAAUCAAGAACGAAAGUUAGGGGAUCGAAGACGAUCAGAUACCGUCGUAGUCUUAACCAUAAACUAUGCCGACUAGGGAUCGGAUGAUGUUAAUUUUUUAAUGACUCAUUCGGCGCCUUACG